GCCCACUCUGAUUCUCGCCUUCAAGACUUCUCCAAAGCUUUUUUGUGGAACACACUUCCUUUCUCCGUUAGGCUUUCACCCAGUCUCCACUCCUUCAAAAAAAAUCUUUGAAAACUUCUUUAGGAAUGCAUAUCAAUUAAACUGAACAGCUUUCCCUCUCUGCACCAGGAUUCCUCUACUGCAACGGUCAUCAAUUGAAUACUAUCC